GCCUUCAUUGUGUAAUGGUUAGCACACUUGGCACGUGUUCGAGAGGUCCAGGUUCGAGUCCCUGUGACGGCA
rfam:Stegodyphus mimosarum contig69533, whole genome shotgun sequence.